UUCCGGUUGAUCCUGCCGGACCCGACUGCUAUCAGAGUGGGAUUAAGCCAUGCGAGUCAACGUAGCAAUACGUGGCGCACGGCUCAGUAACACGUAGUCAACAUGCCCAGAGGACGUGGAUAACCUCGGGAAACUGAGUCUAAACCGCGAUGAGUCAGGAUUCCUGGAAUGGUUCCUGAUUGAAAUCUAUAUGGCCUCUGGAUUGGACUGCGGCCGAUCAGGCUGUUGGUGAGGUAAUGGCCCACCAAACCUGUAACCGGUACGGGCUCUGAGAGGAGGAGCCCGGAGAUGGGCACUGAGACAAGGGCCCAGGCCCUAUGGGGCGCAGCAGGCGCGAAACCUCUGCAAUAGGCGAAAGCCUGACAGGGUUACUCUGAGUGGCUUUCGUUAAGAAAGUCUUUUGGCACCUCUAAAAAUGGUGCAGAAUAAGGGGUGGGCAAGUCUGGUGUCAGCCGCCGCGGUAAUACCAGCACCCCGAGUGGUCGGGACGAUUAUUGGGCCUAAAGCAUCCGUAGCCGGUUCUGCAAGUCCUCCGUUAAAUCCAACUGCUUAACAGGUGGGCUGCGGAGGAUACUACAGAGCUAGGAGGCAGGAGAGGCAAGCGGUACUCAGUGGGUAGGGGUAAAAUCCGUUGAUCCAUUGAAGACCACCAGUGGCGAAGGCGGCUUGCCAGAAUGCGCUCGACGGUGAGGGAUGAAAGCUGGGGGAGCAAACGGGAUUAGAUACCCGGGUAGUCCCAGCCGUAAACGAUGCAGACUCGGUGAUGGGUUGGCUUCGCGCUAACCCAGUGCCGCAGGGAAGCCGUUAAGUCUGCCGCCUGGGUAGUACGGUCGCAAGACUGAAACUUAAAGGAAUUGGCGGGGGAGCACCACAAGGGGUGAAGCCUGCGGUUCAAUUGGAGUCAACGCCGGA
rnacentral:rRNA from 1 species